AUAAUUUAUUGUUAAACAUAGCAGCAACUGCACAUAUACCUAUGUGACCAACUUCAAUCCGACGUAACUGCGAGCACCUUCGAUACUAAUACAUUUAAAUCCCAAACUUUAUAUAGUACCUUUAAACCCCACCCAUAAAAACCGCCAAAACUUUCCUCGUGCCUCCUGCACCUAACAUCAAACUUAUAAAUAGUACAUACUGUUACAAAACCAGUAUCCAAACUAGUUAUACUAGUUUCCAUCUGUAAAUAUUAACUACAAAUAGCAAACGGGAAAAACCCUAUUUCAAACGAAAUAAAAUACAUUUAAAUUCUCCCUCGCCCUGCUCGU
rnacentral:lncRNA from 1 species